GGAGAGGUGCCAGAGCGGACGAAUGGAACGGUCUUGAAAACCGUCGAGGGGCAACCUUCCGCGGGUUCGAAUCCCGCCCUCUCCGCCA
rnacentral:tRNA from 1 species